UACGUAGGGACCAAGCGUUGUUCGGAUUUACUGGGCGUAAAGGGCGCGUAGGCGGUUUGCCAAGUCAGUUGUGAAAUCUCCGAGCUUAACUCGGAACGGUCAACUGAUACUGUCAAACUAGAGUACAGAAGGGGCAAUCGGAAUUCUUGGUGUAGCGGUGAAAUGCGUAGAUAUCAAGAGGAACACCUGAGGUGAAGACGGGUUGCUGGGCUGAUACUGACGCUGAGGCGCGAAAGCUAGGGUAGCAAACGGG
rnacentral:rRNA from 1 species